AAGACUAUAGACCUGCGGAGUACCUGCGGAAGGAUCAUUACUGUGAUUUACUACUACACUGCGUGAGCGGAACGAAAACAACAACACCUAAAAUGUGGAAUAUAGCAUAUAGUCGACAAGAGAAAUCUACGAAAAAACAAACAAAACUUUCAACAACGGAUCUCU
rnacentral:misc_RNA from 1 species